CUGCAUAUGGAAGUUCCCAGGCUAGAGGUCAAAUUGGAGCUGCAAGUGCCGGCCACAGCCACAACCACAGCAAUGCAGGAUCCGAGCAGCAUCUGCAGCCUACACCACAGCUCGGGACAACGCCAGAUUCUUAACCCACUGAGCGAAGUCAGGGAUUGAACCUGCAUCCUCAUGGACACGAGUCAGGUUUGUUUCCACUGCACCACGAUGGGAACUCCCACAUAUUGUAUUUUGUACACACCUCUGUUUUCUUAUUGUAUUUCAAUUGUUUGCAUGUAUGAGAGGGCAGAAACUGGGAGCUAUUGAAACAAGAAGGUGUGUAUUUUCAUGUUUAUAUCCCCAGCACUCAAACUGUUCCCAACACCCAAUAUUUGUCCCAUGAAUUUCAUAUAAAAGUCUACUAAAACCCCUCCUUGAAAAUACAAUUAACUCAAGAUCCUCUAAAACUUAAUCACAACCAUAAUCACUAUGCUGGCCAAGAUUUAUUCAAUUGACUAAAAAUAUGAUAUUUUCUUAAUGUCACUGAACAUUUCUAAGCCCAGAAGAUAAAGAGUUUGAGUAUUUAUUGAGUAUCUGCUCUGUACACUGGGGAUAUCAAGAUUUUAUGGCUUAGUGAACAAGAGAGACAUAGAAAAAGUCAUUUCGCAUCACAUGACUAUUAUCAAUCAGGGGCCAAUACAAUCUGAUACAGGAACACAGACAAGCGGGUAGUGAUGUAUUUUAUUGGUGGUGUCAAACUUAUCCCCAAAGAGAAGGAACAGGCGUUAGGAAGGAGUUGCUCCUUUGGACCCCAAAUAUCACUUAACUCUUCUAUCAACUCUCUCCUUUGAAAGAGUUCUUCUUCGGGGCUUCCACAUCACAUGCUCAUUUCACCCUAUGUGAAAACCGUUUUACAGAAAGAUGGACACAGAUCCCUAUCAGCCUAUUGCCCUUUGAGGUGGCCUGAUCAUGACUCCAAGCUCCUGAACUGGCAGGAAAUCAAAUCCACGGAUACACGGAGGAGCGGCCUUAACUCUUCAUGAUCUCACUCGGAUCAACAACUUUAUUUUACCUUUCUCCACCCAACCUAUCAACUCUACUUUCUGGCAAAGUCAAACUGCACAUGGAUGCCCAAACACACCAGCCUCGUUCAAACACAACCCCCAAAACAGCUACCUAGGUCCACCACCCCCUCAACAGUUACUCACUACUUCCUGUUAUUUCUGUACAUUAUACAAGCUUCUCUGUUUUGGUGACUAAUGUACUAAAAAGUGGGUUUUUUUUUUUUUUGGUCUUUUUAGGGCUCACUUGCUGCAUAUGGAGGUUCCCAACAAAAAUACAUACAUAUAUAUAUAGAGAGAGACGAUUUGAUAAAAAGGCUAAACUUUUUCAGGUUGUUUUAUUACAAUAAUAUAUAAUGGAAAAGAAUCUGAAAAAGAAUGUAGGAAUAUGUGUGUGUAUAUAUAUAUGUAUGUAUGUAUAUAUAACUGAAUCACUUUGCUAUACCUCCGCAACAUUAUAAAUAACUACAACUUUUAAAAAGGCUAAAAUUUGAUCAAAUCCAAGAUCUGUACAAAGAAAACCUGUUCAUUUAAUACAUUCAAAUAAUCAAAAACUAUCAUUUUUUGAGUUUUUGCAUGUAUCACACACUUGCAAAGGCUUUAGAGUACAUUGCAGCCAUCCCCUGAAUGCUAUUAUUAUUCUCCUUGAGUACAAGAGAUUCAGAGAGAUCAAGCCCCUUGUCCAGUGUCAAUUUUAGGAAAGGAGUAGAGCUGGGAUUUGGACUCGGAUUUGCGUGGACCCAGAGCCCCAACUUUGAGUCACUAGUUAUGUGACCAAAAUGACAUGCUGCUCAGAGAUGGCGAAUGGACCAGACAUUUAAAUAAAAGCUAUAAACGCAGUAAAUCUUGUGUUCUUAAGGUAAGUUUCCCCCUACUUAAGAUAAACAACUCUACAAUUCAGUACAUAACUUUCCUGCUUAUUCUUCAUCUGCCAGACAAAUGUCUCUGGCAUAGAGCUAAUUAGAACUGUGUGAAGAUGACAAAUAUUCAAGUUAAACACACACACAGCAAAGCAAAUACAGUUCACAAUUGUAUGGGAUGGUCCGUUUCUUCCAUAAACUUCUUCUUUGACAUGAUAAAAGAUUUGCUGGAAAUAAAUAUAAAUCAUGGAGGGAUCUGUUCAGUAAGUAUUCACUUAAUAUCUACUAUAUGUCAGUAACUGCACUGAAUAUAAAUAUUGGUAUGCUGCAGUCUUACCCACAAGGCAGUCUCAGUCUAUUGGGAAGUCCACCUUAGUAGGUACCAUGAAUUAACUGCUGCAAUUUGAGGAAUACAAAUAAGGAGGUCAGGUCAGCACACCCUACCACUCAUGCUUAAUACAACUGACUGUUCCCCUGGAUGACGUUUUUGUUAAUAUCCAACAAGAAACUAAUAUGCUACCACAAGAUCCUGAGAGUUAAAUAACAGAAAUGCCCACAGCAACAUUCUAUGGUCUUGAGCACAACCUCUAACUUAGAGCCCACUUACGGA
rnacentral:lncRNA from 1 species